CCCCCUUUUUCUUUCUACUCUAUCUCCUACCUAACUCUCCCAAAGCCCAUUUUCUCUCUCUAUCUCCCCUUUUCUCUCCCUAUCUCUCUAACCGCCAACGAGAUGGCGACCAACACUAUGCAGAUUAUCGCCAACGAUGUAUCUUGGAAACCCCAUCACCUGAUAAUCUUCUUUUCUUUUGUUUUUCUGAUAAUGGAGGAAACUUUA
rnacentral:lncRNA from 1 species